GAGGAUGUAGCUCAGUGGUAGAGUGCAUGCUUAGCAUACACAAGGUCCUGGGUUCAAUCCCCAGUACCUCCU
rnacentral:tRNA from 1 species